CUGACCUCGUGAUCCGCCUGCCUCGGCCUCCCAAAGUGCUGGGAUUACAGGCGUGAGCCACCGCGCCCGGCCGCUGCUUUAAGUUCUUAACACGUCCUCACCGCGGCUCAGCUCACUGAAACUGAAAAUUCACACAGCAGCCGUGGGAGUCAGAGUAGCAAAGGCUUUGAGAUCACAUAGACCUGGGACACGUGCUUGCUUUGUGAUUACGGGUGCGGGGACUGCUUGCCAACCCAUGGCAACUCACCUGUAGCGCAUGGAGAUUUGGGGGUAAACCCAGUGAUGCUGAGUAUGUGGGCUGCCCAAGCUGGGUGGCAACCAACCCCAGCAUUGAAUGUGCUGAGAGCUGGACCGGUGGAUGUCCCCACUGCCCUGAGGCAGGUCCAGGAGAAGGCUCCUACCUGCUGUGCAGAGGGCAAGGUAAGUCUUGUCCUUGAUCUACAGCCAGAAGACAGCAGGGCUGCUUCUGUCUGCGUCCCAGCCUCCACUCUUCUCUAGAUACCAUCACCACCAUGACAACUGCAGUUAACACUUAGUGAAGACCCCUAGGUGCCACGCGCCCAUGCAAUACCCACAGACCCCUCUGAGGUAGGCCCUGUAAUGGUCCCUACGUUAGGGAGGGGCGGUCCCAGGCCCAGCUGGUCAGUGAGGGAGGUAGGAUUUGAACCCAGGCAGCCUGGCUUUGGGGCAUUGCUCUCUGCCACGUGGCCGGUUCCUACACCCUUGCCAGCUACCCCCUGCAAAGGUGGCCAGCCUGGCUUUGUCCUUCAGGAUCCUCUGAUCUCUCUCAGGGGCCUCCAACCCACCCACUGGCUCUCCCUGCUGACAAAGCAACUAUUUCCUGGCCCCAAAGCCCCAGUCUCUGGAAAUGACCCUCCUUCCUUCUCCAGCUCAUGGCUGUCAGAGGCUCCUAACUGCACCCACCCCCGAUCAGCCAAAGCCAAUUACUCCACGUCCAAGACACAGGCGUGUUAAAAUGUAAACGGCCAUUCAUCAUCUGGCAGCGUGACCGUUUGCCCCUAUCAGGCCCCAGUCCGGCCUCACCACGCCUCCAUGCUCUCCUCAGCGUCAAAGAAACAGCCUUGUCCUGCCAGGGCCUUCGCCAGGCCCGGCCUGGGAAGUCAGGGCUCUCUGACCCAAUGGAGCGAAUCGUUGCGAGCAUUUAUUUAAUAGCAUUAUCUUGAUGAUGAAUAAAUCACACCUUCAUGAACCAUUUUUCCAUUUGUAGCCCCAAGUCAAGACUCCCAAAAUGUUACCAGAUGUCAGGCAUGAAAUAUACACCCCUGGCAAGCUCUGCCAUGCACAGGAGUCAUGCUGCUUUCAAUCCACGGGAGAGCCGGACACGAGCGUUCCAAGGCAGGAGCAGAACUCCAUGUUGGCCAUUAUAAAGACAAGAUUCCUUUUCCCCCGCUUUUUAUAGCCUCUCUGGGUAAGAUGUGUCUGGAAGGAGGUGUGGGCCAGGAAAGAGCAUAUGUCUGAUGCCUGGGAUUCCAGGACAGAAAGUACAGCCGACUCCAAGCUCUUGGGAUGGGAUUGGAGGGUCUCAAAACCUUGCCAGCUUUGGAGUCAGAGAGAAAAGAGUCCCAACCCCAGAUUUAUCAUUUGCUAACAAAUGUGACCUUGGGCAAAUCAGCUCACCUCUCUGGCCCUCAACAGAGAUAAUCCUGGGACCUAUUUCACAGUCAUGGAGAGGAUUAAAUGGGAAGAGGAAUAAAAGGAGUUUGGAGAAGUGCCCAGGACAUAGUAUGCACUGAGCAAAUUCCGUAGUAAGAGGAGUAUUAGUAAUAGCUACUAUUGAUUAGGUGGUGUUGUGAGUUGAACAGUGUUCCCCCAAAAUUCAUGUCCACCCAGAGACACAGAAUGUGACCAUUUGUGGAAAUAGGGUCUUUGCAAAUGUAAUUAGUUAAGAUGAGGUCAUACUAGAUUAGGGUAGGCCCUAAGUCUAA
rnacentral:lncRNA from 1 species